GCUUCCUUGGUGUAGUUGGUUAUCACGUGGGUCUCAUAGUUAUCAUCUGUUGAUAUACGUAUAUAUGAUCUAGCACCUUGUCUAGAGUAAUCCCAAGGUCGCCAGUUCGAUCCUGGCAGGGAGCA